rnacentral:rRNA from 1 species
UACGUAGGAGGCGAGCGUUGUCCGGAAUUACUGGGCGUAAAGCGCGUGUAGGCGGUCUUGUAAGUGUGAAGUGAAAUCUCCAGGGCUCAACCCGGAAACUGCUUCGCAUACUGCAAGACUGGAGUGAUGCAGAGGUUUGUGGAAUUCCUGGUGUAACGGUGAAAUGUGUUGAUAUCAGGAGGAACACCCAUGGCGAAGGCAGCAAACUGGGCAUCAACUGACGCUGAGGCGCGAAAGCGUGGGUAGCAAACAGG